GACGAACGCUGGCGGCGUGCUUAACACAUGCAAGUCGAAUGGUAAGGCCCUUCGGGGUACACGAGUGGCGAACGGGUGAGUAACACGUGGGUGAUCUGCCCUGCACUUCGGGAUAAGCCUGGGAAACUGGGGCUAAUACCGGAUAGGACUCCGGACUGCAUGGUCGGGGGUGGAAAGCUGUGGCGGGGUGGGAUGGGCCCGCGGCCUAUCAGCUUGUUGGUGGGGUGAUGGCCUACCAAGGCGACGACGGGUAGCCGGCCUGAGAGGGUGACCGGCCACACUGGGACUGAGAUACGGCCCAGACUCCUACGGGAGGCAGCAGUGGGGAAUAUUGCACAAUGGGCGCAAGCCUGAUGCAGCGACGCCGCGUGAGGGAUGACGGCCUUCGGGUUGUAAACCUCUUUCAGCAUCGACGAAGCGAAAGUGACGGUAGGUGCAGAAGAAGGACCGGCCAACUACGUGCCAGCCGCCGCGGUAA
rnacentral:rRNA from 1 species